AGGAUAGUGUCCUGAUUGGAGACUUCAAUUGAUUCUCCAAUGUGGAGUCCAAGUGACAAGAAUUCGAGGGGAUGUUCAAGUCAGGAGUCAAAUGCAGCCAGAUGAUGUCUCUUGGCUGCAGGUACUCGGGUCGUAGUUGAUGGGGUCGUAGACGUGCAUUUGGGAUAUUAUGACCGGAGCCCGCCGCGACGGUCGUAAUUGCGGGACCAUGGGCGUCCUCAGUUUUAUAGGUUUUGUUAUGGCUUGUGACGCAUGUGUCACUCGUUAUUGUGUAAAGCCAUUUCUGUUAUGUAUUUAUAUUGAGGAAAGACUUAAAUACAUAAAUGUUAAAUGGCUCUUAUUAUUAAUUUAUAAUAGAUGUUAAGAUGUGAUUUCCGCUA